rnacentral:rRNA from 1 species
AGUACCGUGAGGGAAAGGCGNAAAGGAACCCCGGGAGGGGAGUGAAAUAGAUCCUGAAAUUGUGUGCAUACAAANCAGUAGGAGCCUCGUAAGGGGUGACUGCGUACCUUUUGUAUAAUGGGUCAGCGACUUACAUUCAGUGGCAAGGUUAACCGAAUAGGGNAAGCCGUAGAGAAAUCGAGUCCGAAUAGGGCGAAAUUAGUCGCUGGGUGUAGACCCGAAACCAAGUGAUCUAUCCAUGGCCAGGAUGAAGGUGCCGUAACAGGUACUGGAGGUCCGAACCGACUAGUGUUGCAAAACUAGCGGAUGAGCUGUGGAUAGGGGUGAAAGGCUNAAACAAGCCGGGAAAUAGCUGGUUCUCCGCGAAAACUAUUGAGGUAGUGCCUCGAGUAUUACUGUGGGGGGUAGAGCACUGGAUGGGCUAGGGGGUCGCGAGAUCUACCAAACCUAACCAAACUCCGAAUACCCACAAGUACAGCUCGGGGAGACAGACGGCGGGUGCUAAGGUCCGUCGUCAAAAGGGAAACAGCCCNUAACCUACAGCUAAGGGUCCCCAAGUCAUCACUAAGUGGGAAAGCANUGUGGGACNUUCCAAAACAACCAGGAGGUUGGCUUAGAAGCAGCCAU